rnacentral:rRNA from 1 species
AACGAACGCUGGCGGCAGGCUUAACGCAUGCAAGUCGAACGGUUGCAGCAAUGCAGCAGUGGCAGACGGGUGAGUAACACGUGGGAACCUUCCUAGGGGUACGGAACAACUCAGGGAAACUUGAGCUAAUACCGUAUACGUCCGUGAGGAGAAAGAUUUAUCGCCCUUAGACGGGCCCGCGUCGGAUUAGCUAGUUGGUGGGGUAACGGCCUACCAAGGCGACGAUCCGUAGCUGAUCUUAGAGGAUGAUCAGCCACACUGGGACUGAGACACGGCCCAGACUCCUACGGGAGGCAGCAGUGGGGAAUCUUGGACAAUGGGCGCAAGCCUGAUCCAGCCAUGCCGCGUGAGUGAAGAAGGUCUUCGGAUUGUAAAGCUCUUUUGCCAGGGACGAUAAUGACGGUACCUGGAGAAUAAGCCCCGGCAAACUUCGUGCCAGCAGCCGCGGUAA